UCCACUGUCUUACAACAUUCAAGAUGGCGGAGGAAAGGGGUAAAUGUGCGUUCAGUUGUGAUCAGCAUGAUCUCGACACCAAAAUAACGAUUACCGUUAUUUCUAAAUUGGCCCUGAAAUAACGAAUAUCAUAAUUUCAGUGCAUGUCUGAGACCUUCGGGCUCGAAGCUUGGGAACUAGUAUUCAGGGAAAGAUAAAAUGGCGGCUUACGGCGGCGAAGGAAAUCUCAGUAGUUUAAUAUUUAGCGUGAAAAGGCUUGGGUGUUGUGAUCUGGUUCUCAAGUAAAAAAAAAAUCACGGUCUGCAAUGGCCCUACCACCUUUUGAACAACAAGAAAACAUUGAAACGGUGGUAAAAAGCAGCAAGUUUCGAAGUCUAAACGAAAGAUGGGUGGUCAUUAUCCAUUACUUUUGGAAGUCGAUGCUGAUGAGAAAGAAAAAAUGUUUAUGAUUAUUUCUUCUCUCGAACAUUUUACUAUUUAGGUACCAAAUAAUCUUGAUACUGAAGACCAUUGCAUCCUAUUAUGAAAAAUUUACCCCUGAUUGCUUUGUCAACAUGUAUGAUGUAAUAUACCUUGAGAUUUGUGGGAUUUUCACAUGUAAACUAGAAAUACCUGUAGAGGGUAAUGAUGUACUUAAUGCAAAGUGUUUUGGUACAAAGUCUGCUUUGCUGUAAUCUACCUGAAGGUGCUUUUUAUAUGCUAGUAACACUUGCACAGCCCAGUCAAAAUGUUCUUUAGUAGUAGUCAAGCUGGCUGUUGUAAUUAUAGGCAGCAGAGGCCAAACCUCAUCCUGAAAAGCAGUCUGAAAGGUGUGAAGUCAGUGGAAGAUACUUCAUUGUAGGUGGCCAAAUUGCAGGCUGUCAGCCCAUUUUGAGUGUUAAACAGGUCAAAGUACCGAAAAAAACCUCUGUGAUAACUUGGUAGUCUAAGAUGUAAAAAUUUUUAAUAAUAAGGUAAAGCUUGAUCAUUCUUAAGAGUUUGCAUCUGUUCUAAAAGUUUUGGGGAGAGUUAGGGGAGCAUUAUUUAUACAAAUGUAUUUAAAAAGUAACAAAAAAAUAAAAAGAACUAGGGCAAAAUCCCAAUUUGCUUUAAAAGUUUAUUUUAUUAAGAGCAUAAUUCUGGAUAUAGCUUGGGAUUUGUGUGAUUUUCACAAAUUGUUAGGUUGUUAUGUAAACUUAAUUUACAGGAACCUUGUUAGUUUUCAGCUUCAAGAACAAGUACAUAAUUGCAGGAAAAGCUUGAAGCUUGAAAAAUUGACUGAUGAAACUGGAACAGAUGUCAUGAGAUUUGUACAAUAGGUUGGCCUGGGAGGGACCAAGAAUUAAAGAAUUCAUUGAUUCUCUUACACCUUUUGUCUGCAUAGUGUGCUUCUGUAGAGCUUAGUUAUUGCUGUA